rnacentral:rRNA from 1 species
AUAUUGGACAACGGGGGCAACCCGGAUCCAGCCAUGCCGCGUGUGUGAAGAAGGUCUUCGGAUUGUAAAUCACUUUAAGUUGGGAGGAAGGGCUUUAGGUAAAUACCCCGAAGUUCUGACGUCACCAACAGUAUAAGCACCCGAGCACUCUGUGACAGCAGCCGCGGUAAGACAGACGAUGCAAGCGUUAAUCGGAAUUACUGUGCGUAGAGCGCGCGUAGGUGGUUCAGUAAGAUGGGUGUGAAAUCCCCGGGCUUAACCUGGGAACUGCUUUCAUAACUGCUGAGCUAGAGUACGGUAGAAGGUAGAGGAAUUUCCUGUGUAGCGGUGAAAUGCAUAGAUAUAGGAAGGAACACCAGUGGCGAAGGCGACUACCUGGACUGAUACUGACACUGAGGUGCGAAAGCGUGGGGAGCAAA